AGACUGGAUGGAUCAUGGCAGAGGAGGAGCCUGGAGUGAGUUAGGAGAACGGGAGACUUUUCAGAACUUGUGAGUUAGGCUGGGGGCAGGGUUUUUUUGUUUUUUGUUUGUUUUUUUCCUUCAUACUCACUAAGUGAGACAAACAGCUGUGAGCGGCAGUUCCUCUCAGGUUUGGAAGCCGUGAGUCCCUGAAGUUUCCCAGGCAGCACAGACGCCAGCGCCUCUGAAGCAAAACGAGAAGCGGAAAGGAAGGCUUUGCAGUCUUCAGGAAAAGACAACUCUUCUCCACAAAAGCUUAGUCAAAGUCAGACCCUUUACCCAGAUCCCAGCCCCCAUGCUCAGCUCCCAGCGACCUUAGAGGGGCAGGAAGAGGACGCCACCGGGAUGGACAGGCGAGAGAGGUGUGCUUCUUACCGCGAGCUGCCAGGACCUGAUCCGGAAAUAAGGCUCCACUUCCGGAAGCAGCGGCGCUCAGGGUGAUUCCUGAGAUUUGAUUGGAGGGAGUUCCAUUUGGAGCUGAGUACUGCCUCUGCACUUGACCACUUGUAGGGAAACAUUAAUUGCCAUCUACUUCAGAGCAAAGCUUCUCUGAUGAGAGUUGAAAAAUGCUCUAAUCUGUGGAUAUAGAGAUAAGGAAUGCUGAGCCAGAGAGACGCUUCAAGCCACCGCCAUGAAAAAAACAAGAUAUAAGGAAACUCCAGAUGUCACCAACAUGCCACCAGCAUGACUCCAGGACCCUGCUAAUAAGGAACAUUUCUCUCAACCCAGAAAGAUGGCCACCAAUUUCAUCCUGGCAGUUCUGGUUUAGAUCUCAUUCUCCAAAGGAUUAUGCUGGGUUUUCUUAUAUGUAGUGAUUAUUUCUGUCUUUUUCAGUUAACAUAAUUCUUUUCAUUUUAGGAAUUUCACACCAUAUACCUUAAUCCCACUAGUUUCCCAGUCCUUCUAUGUCCAUCCUCCACCCUUGUAGCCUCCUCCCCCCUUGUAGCCUCUUCCCCAAAAAGAAAAGAAAAGAAAAAAAGAAAAACAUUUCGCUUCUCCAUCUUCCUUCCUCUCCCUCACAUAUUCAUUUGUCAUGCAUGAUACACCACAGCUCCUAAGAUCACUAUGACAAAGCCUAUGCCCCGUGAAAACCUGACCUGCCAUCAACCAGGAUGAGACACAGAAAAGGAAACCAAGGCUCUGAGAAGUUCAGUAACUUGUUUGAGGUGAACAAGAGCAGAACAACACAUGGAUGGCUGACCUCAGACAGUUUGGUUUUUAUCACUAUCCAUAUAUCUGAGAUGCACAGACUCACUGAGUGGUUUUUGAGCAAUUCUACCAAAAGCCUUUUACAGAUUCAAUGCAACCCCAAUGAAAAUCCCCGUCUUAUUCUUCACAGAAAUAGAAAUAACUAUCCUAAAAUUUUUAUGGAAACCUGAGGGACUUUAGAUAUCUAAUCCUGAGCAAAACAAACAAAGCAACAGCAAUAAUAACAAAAAAACCCCAAAACAAUCCUGGAGGUAUUAUCAUUCCAGAUCUCAAGAUACAUUACAGAGCUGUAGUAAUAAAAACUAUGGAACUGGCACAAAAACAGACAUGUCGACCAAUGAAACAAAAUCUAAUAUCAAACAUUGUUGGGGACCCAGAUGAUUUGUGGUUCUUUCUCAGGGACAUACACGGACCCAGGCACAAAAUAAAGACUCAGAGAAAUGUCUCCAGGGGCAAAACAAGGUCACAAAGGCAGAGAAGUGCAGAAGAAGGAACUCCAAUAAGGGGGUUAAAGAUAACUGUUUGCUGGAGUUUUGCUUGAAAUGCAAUCUCUAGGAGCCAGAAAGACAAUAUAUAAACAGUAGUGGGAAAAAUAAAAAAAAGUUCAUUCUUCAAUUAAACCCAGAGUCUUACGUCUUUGUCUAGUACUGUCUUCUUUUCCAGGUUCCCGUGAUGCCCACAGCUGUGCCGGCUGAGACAAAACAUGAGUACACAUAGUUUCAGCCAUUUGGUAUUCAAAAAAGAUGCCAAAAACAUACACUGAAGAGAAAUAGUGCUAGGAAAGCUGGGUGUCCACAAACAGAAGAAGAAAAUUAUGUAUAAUCUGAGAACUAGCUUUCAUGGUCUAGAAGGCACCAUGCAAGCUUCCAAAGGAGGGUAGCAACCUAUAGUCUUACCAAUCUAUGAUGCCUGUGACCACAACAACCCCCACAGCACAAUAAACCUACAGGUGCAGUAGUGGCAAACAUGCCUUGGCAGCGAGCAACAGAUUUCUAAUUGGACUUGAGGCUCACUCAACAAAAGAGAAAUCAUGCCUACUAUUGGAAGCGUAGCCAACCACUCAGGGCUAGUGAAGCUAUUGGAGGAGAACCUACAGCUACCACUUUACAUAAUCAGAAUAAGUCCCAACUACACUAUAAAUAUUUAUCUUAUACCUACAGAUACAUUUAGUUCUUACUCCUCAUCAAGAAAACCCUUCUUUGCAACAGAUGGAGGCCAUUAUUAGAAAACCACAACAGAUCAAAAUGCAGAAUUGUGAAGCACAGUCCCAAUGGAUACAUCUACAACUCCUAUAACUAAAGCUCAGAGAACAUUGUGGAAGAGGGCAUGGGAAGACUAUAGAAGGCAGAGGAACUGGAAGUUUGUUGUGAGAUUGUAUCUCCUAGAAAUGUCAGAGAAUCUACAUACAUGAGGUCUCAUUAACAUCUCAACCUAAACAUGACCUGAACAAAGACAGUACCAAUAGACAUACUAAUGUGGAAAGGGAAAAGCCCAGGAGGCCUCAACUCUACACAAAGAGCUAAAAGCCACUAAGGAUUGUUGUGAGCAGGAGAAAUAGUCUUCCCCAGGGAAGAAUGCACCAAUUGGUUAUAGGCAGACUUUUCUUUGCUGCCUGUCAGUUUCCAAAUAACCAACAUGGAGACUUAAUAUUAAUUAUAAAUGCACAGCUGUAGCUUAGGCUUGUUACUAACAACUAGCUCUUACAAUUUAAAUUAACUAAUUUCUGUUAAUCUACAUAUUGCCAUGUGGCUCAUGUCUUUACCUGUCCUCCAGCAUGUCUUGUUUCCUCUGCAUCUCCUGGUCACUACUCUGACUCAGGCCUCCUUCCCAGUAUCCUUAGUCUGAUUUUCCCAACUAACCUUAUCCUGUCCAGCUAUUGGUAAUUCAGAUUCUUUAUUAAACCAAUCACAGCAUAAUUUACAGUGUACAGAAGGAUUAUUUCACAGCAAUUGGUUAUCCCAUACCAGAUGAUCAGCCUUGAAAACAUAUACGUACAAGUAAUAUUACAUAGACUGAAUAUGUUAUACACACACCUACACACAUAUACACAUCUAUGUAUUUAUCACCUAUCUAUCAUCUAUUAUCAUCUAUCAUCAAGCAAUCUAUCAUCUACCUUCUAUAAAUCAUCUGCAUAUCAUUUAUUAUAGUAUCAUCUGUCUAUCAUCUAUUAUCUAUCAUCUAUCUAUCUAUCUAUCUAUCUAUCUAUCUAUCAUCUAUCUAUCUAUCAUCUGUCUAUCUGUCUAUCUAUCUAUUAUCUUGGUUACAACUUGUAAGAGAGAAAGUGAGACACAGAGAAGAUUUUUAGGGAAUUGAUAUUGUUAUAUUAUUAUCUAAAAAAAUUAUUAAAGAAAAAAAAGAAUGGUGCCUCGUUUCUUUUCCAGAUGGAGGGAAUGGUGAAAACGAAACUUCAAAUGGCUAGCAUGGACUGCCCAAAUAGCUUUUGAUUUAUUUGUUGAGAUAUGAUCUGACUCUGUAGUCCAGACUAAACUAACCUGCAGUCCACAUGUGUCCCAUGUUGGCCUUGAACACAGCAAUCCUCCAGUCCCACUCUCCCAGUGUUGGGACUAUAGGAGCAAGUCUCAUGCUUUGCUCUAAAUUGGUUGCUUUCAUUGAUCUCUAUUUAUUAUUUUCAAAGGUUUUUAAGAUCCCAUUCUAUUAUUUCAUGGUAAAUCUUCUGAUUUUACCUUUUAUAAAAGUAAUAUUAAAAACUGUAGUGCUCCACGAAAGUAUUUUCAAUUAUGUGCUCUGAGUUUUUUUUCUAACAAUAAAAUGUAAAUCCAUUGUCAUGAGUGAUACAUAUGAUAAGUUUUAGGCCUCCGGAGGCCUCUCCACCGUUGCAACAAACCAAAUCAGGAAAAGUCCAGGUUUAAUGAGUAAAGCACUCCUGGGUGAUUCCCCAUCCCUGCAGAGAGGAGAAGGGGACAAGAGUGGAAGAACCACAAGUCUGUUUUCAGGGAUACCACUUAUGCAUCCCCUGUGGGAGUUGUCCUGAGCCUCUCUGGGGGAGGAGCUGUGUUUGUAGGGCUUUGAAGGGGCAGGUUUAGGGAAAGAGAUGGGGAAGGGGGCUGAGGUGAAUCUUCCACCAGACUCCUUCCAAAUAUUCCAGACUCUUUGGGUAUAGGGAUGCCAGGGUGCUGGGGGUUGAAGUGGAGCUCCCACCCAAACAAUAUUUUUAAGUUUAAUGGGCAAUACUAAAUUUAUCUCCAAGUACUUUUAAUGAUUUGUUUUUACUUACACUUGUUAUUGGGAUAUAUUUAAAUUAUUUUAUUAGGUGGUUGUUUUAUUUUAUUUUGAGUUUCUCUGACUACGGUGAAUAUGAACAUCUUUUCUUCAUUCAUGUUUCUUCAUUUGAAAAUUGCCAGUUUACCUCAUUUACUUUCCCCCCAUAGUAUUGUUUAUUAUGUUGAUUGGUGUGCAUGCUUAUGUAUCCUGCGUGGGAAUGAUCUGAAGCUUCUUUAUCUUGUAAAUAUUCUCUUGGCAGGUGGUCUUGUCAUUUUACCUUUUUAUAAUGUCUGUUGUCAUGCAUAGGCUUGUAAUUUUAAUGAAGUCAAAUGUAUCAAGCAUUUUCCUUUGUUGUCUGUGUUUAUUUAAUAUUUUUUGUAAGAAGUCUUUUCCUACCCUGCUGUGGUUAAUCUUUAUUAUCAGUUUGGGUAGUUUCAGACUCACCAUGGAAACACAUCUGUGAGUAUGUUUAUAAGAAUGCCUCCAGAAAGUUUCACUUAAGUGGAAAGAUCCACCUUGAAUGUGAGGGUCAUUGAACCAUAGGGCUGCUCUCCGAUCCCUUCUAUUUCUGUGUUACCUGCUGCCUUGCCAUCUUGCUGCCAUGCCUUCCCCACAAUGAUGGGCUGCAUCCCCUUGAACUGCAGUAAAAAGAAACUGUUCUUUCUUAAUUUAUUCUUGUCAAGUAUUUGGUCACAACAACAAAAAAACAAAUAGAUAAAAUGUGUCCUUAGAGUACAAACAUUUGAUGCUUCUGGUCAUUUUCCCCCAUGUAAAUAAGUAUCUCACUGGGAUCUAUUUGUAUAAUGGGAAAUCUUGUGUCCUUAAUUUUAAAAUUGAUUACUAUCAUUAUCAUGUGUGCAUGUGUGGGCCUGUGUAUACCAUGGCACAUGAAGGGGUUAGAGGGCAACUGUGUGCGGCUGUCCUCUCCUUCUGUUUUGAUUCUGGGGACUGAACUCAGGUUGUCAGACUUGGUGGCAAACAUUUUGUAUGUGCUGAGCCAUCUCUCUGUCUCAGUCCUGGAUUCUUAUAUGGCCUCAGUCUUAUGUUAAAUGUGCUCAAACA